UACGUAGGGUGCAAGCGUUAUUCGGAAUUACUGGGCGUAAAGCGCACGUAGGCGGCUUUCUAAGUCGGAGGUGAAAUCCUGGAGCUCAACUCCAGAACUGCCUUCGAUACUGGAGAGCUUGAGUCCGGGAGAGGUGAGUGGAACUGCGAGUGUAGAGGUGAAAUUCGUAGAUAUUCGCAAGAACACCAGUGGCGAAGGCGGCUCGCUGGCCCGGUACUGACGCUGAGGUGCGAAAGCGUGGGGAGCAAACAGG
rnacentral:rRNA from 1 species